rnacentral:lncRNA from 1 species
GUGAAGCCCAGUAGAAGGACCAAGAAAAAAAAACUGCAGCACUAAGCCAGGCAGAAUGCAACAUGCCCUGAUCUAAAGAGAUACCUCACCAGACCACAUCCAUCUGAAGCUUGCUUAUGUGGAAGCAGAGCUGGCCAGGCCAAGACAGCUUGAGAGGAGCUUCCCAUGGCCUCAGGGGUGAUGAGCACUGCUUGUUGCAGCUGAGGAGGCUGCAUCAGCAACACCAACCUGGGAAGUGGGGACCUGCCUGGAGCGAUGCGGUGAGGCAUUCUGAAAGGAGCAUUAAUCUUGCCUGGAAGGGCCGACCUGCUGGCAGCCGAUUCAUCAGCAACACUCCCUGGAAGCUGCUGGCCCACACUUUUCGUCAGUGGUGGGUGGCAAGAUUCAGAAAUGUUAAGAGAAGAAUACCUACAGUCUUCAAAUCUGAGCUCCUCUGUAUGCGGACCAUGGGCAGAUGUAACUAAUGCAAGAUCUAUUCUGGAAAAGGGCACAAUAAAUACAGCUGGCAGAAGCA